rnacentral:rRNA from 1 species
GAUGAACGCUGGCGGCGUGCCUAAUACAUGCAAGUCGAGCGAACAGAUGAGGAGCCUGCUCCUCUGACGUUAGCGGCGGACGGGUGAGUAACACGUGGAUAACCUACCUAUAAGACUGGGAUAACUUCGGGAAACCGGAGCUAAUACCGGAUAAUAUAUUGAACCGCAUGGUUCAAUAGUGAAAGACGGUUUUGCUGUCACUUAUAGAUGGAUCCGCGCCGCAUUAGCUAGUUGGUAAGGUAACGGCUUACCAAGGCAACGAUGCGUAGCCGGCCUGAGAGGGUGAUCGGCCACCCUGGAACUGAGACACGGUCCAGACUCCUACGGGAGGCAGCAGUAGGGAAUCUUCCGCAAUGGGCGAAAGCCUGACGGAGCAACGCCGCGUGAGUGAUGAAGGUCUUCGGAUCGUAAAACUCUGUUAUUAGGGAAGAACAAAUGUGUAAGUAACUAUGCACGUCUUGACGGUACCUAAUCAGAAAGCCACGGCUAACUACGUG